rnacentral:rRNA from 1 species
GCUUAACACAUGCAAGUCGAACGAGAUUUAUAGAAUUGAGUACUUCGGUAUGAUUUUUUAUAAUGAGAGUGGCAAACGGGUGAGUAACACGUGGAUAAUCUGGCCUCAAGACUGGAAUAACUGGCCGAAAGGACAGCUAAUACCGGAUGGUCUCGCUUUGCAUCAGCGAAGUGAGUAAAGCAUAUGCGCUUGAGGGUGAGUCUGCGCGCCAUUAGCUAGUUGGUAGGGUAAAGGCCUACCAAGGCGAC